CGGGACGUGGCGCAGUCUGGCUAGCGCGCCUGCUUUGGGAGCAGGAAGUCGCAGGUUCGAAUCCUGUCGUCCCGA
rnacentral:tRNA from 1 species